CCCUUAGAUGUCCGGGGCCGCACGCGCGCUACACUGAAGGAAUCAGCGUGGCUUUCUCCCUGACCCGAAAGGGUUGGGAAACCCGUUGAAUCUCCUUCGUGAUAGGGAUUGGGGCUUGAAAUUGUUCCCCAUGAACGAGGAAUUCCCAGUAAGCGCGAGUCAUAAGCUCGCGUUGAUUACGUCCCUGCCCUUUGUACACACCGCCCGUCGCUACUACCGAUUGGACGGUUUAGUGAGGGCCUCGGAUUGGUCUCGGCCCGCUCUUUACCGGGCGGCGCCGUUGGUCGAGAAGACGCUCGAACUUGAUCGUUUAGAGGAAGUAAAAGUCGUAACA
rnacentral:rRNA from 1 species